rnacentral:misc_RNA from 1 species
AUGGCCUAGGUCAGUGACUUCCAUUGCACGUGGGAGGGGUGCUGUCCUAAGGUCUCCCUAAGCGGGAGAGCCUACGUCAUAAUUUGUGGUAGUGGGGGCCAGCGUUCGCGCGGCCCCUAUCCAAUUCAUAAUACAACUUUAGACAGAUGGCUUGUUUAGCUGGGCGUUCUCAUUUGAGGAACUUUGCAGUUGGCUUGGCUUUCGUUGUGGACUGGAGAACAUCUCGCCCUU